CUUUUCCAAGCAAAUAUGCGAUUAAAUUAGCAUAUAUUUAUAUACAGCCUCCAUGUCACCCCAUUAAUAUUUCUCUAGAUCCAACACAGUGCAGACACCAACUGUCAGGCCUAUAUGUAAUGCUGGUUUAGAUAGACCUGAAUCAACAGGAUCAAGGUAAAGAUGGUAGGAAAAACCUGGGUUACACCAGUAUUCUUCUUUUAUAGCAAUCAUGUUUGAUAGUCAUCCAUUGCUACAAAAAAAUAAUCGCUCACCGGCUUCACAUUUGUUGCAUUAGAAUGAUUGUUUGUCUGCAUUUUAGGGUUUAUCUUUGUGUUUUUUUCACCCUCGGCCCUGAAAGGUCAUAGUACCUCAUCCUGCUGACAUUUAGAGCAUUGAUAAUAUUCCCUCACAUAUCAAUUUCACCUAUUUUCUCAUCAUUCUCGUUUCCCCCUAGCAGAAAAUGGAAUCAUUUGUGCUUUCAGCAAUUUGUUAUUGAUUGGGAGAGCUCUGGAAAUAGAGGGUAGCCAUUAUGGCAAUGCUGCAGCUACGGUUAAAUUGAGUUUUAAGCAGGCCUGCAAAUGUAUCAUUUCACAGCCAUAACACAAAAGCUUUUAAAUCCAUGAACCUCAGGAUGGAUCAAAUGCCUAAAAAUACCAGUAUUCUCAUCAUAUCGAGAGCUAUUAGAAUUUCUGCCGUUGAGAGGUUUUCCGUAAUUCUGUAGAAUGUGACAGUAUGUGGCUGCGUUUAAGAGAAACCACAGUUAAGAUUGAUUCUCUGACUAGCAUCAGGCCCAUUCGAAAUGUGCCAUUGUGGGCAAAAAAAUUGUGAAACAAUGACUAUUGAUGCAUGCCAGAUAUCUUAUUUUUAUGUACGCUGAAUUCUUGGUCGCUGUAGCUGCUUUGAAAUAAAAUAGUAAAUGAUGUGGGCUAUAUAUGUGUGUAUUGCUGAUUUGCCAUUGGAGGUGUUGAGAGAAUCAAUAUGUGUCUUAAGCACAUGCAUGUAUGUUUAUAUGCAUGCAGGGUCACAUACACACACACACACAGACAGCAACAAGUGUCAGAGUGUAGGGGGAGGUUUCUCUGCGUAGUCAUGUCUUGGUAUCGUUGGCACCAGGCCAGCUUUGCCAUCUGUCUCCUCUCCCCCUUUCCCUGUCUCUCCUCCUCCUCCUCCUCCAAGCCAAUCUGCUCUACAUUUGCUAUCAUUACGUGCCUGCCAUCCUUAUGGCAUAUCAGAGGCAGGCGCCAGGCACCCUUUACCCCUCUCUCUCUCCUCCUCCUCACGCCCCUCUCUUCACGCCCCUAUUUCCGCGCCCACUUCGCCACAGAGUUCUCUAAAGGGUCCAGGUGGCAUCUUGCCCUGCUCUCUUCUCAGAGCCAGGACGGAAAACAAAGAAGCGCGGCGAAGAGGACAAAAAAGCCCCAAAAACGAGGAUAUACUCCUUUCCACAUCCUGCUUGGAGCCUGCUGUGCUUCCUGUGCCCACAGGCUUGGUGUUGGUUUGUUGUUGUUGUUGUUGUUGAUGAUUUCCAUGCUUCUCCCUCCUCUGGAUGGCUGUUGCAGUUUGAGCAAAAAGGCUGCGAAGUAAACCCUCCUCAAACCCUGGAACUUCCCUGGCUUUGGUGCUAUUGACGGGACCCUGGUACGUCUCAUAUGCCCACACACACACACACAUACACACACACACACACACACACACACACACUCACACACAUACACAUUCACAUUGAUGCUGCAGAGUGUUUCUCUCAGAGCUCCCUGCCACCUCGUCCGCCUGCUGCCUCGAAAGAACUGGGAAUACCAUGGGAUCUACCAGAGACUCACUCACACGUACACACAGACACACGCCGGAUUUAAUACGCACGUGCACUCGCCGGUCGUUUGAGGCUGCAGGAAAGUGAAUAAUCAAUUAAGUAUUGAUUUCUUGUAAGAUUUUGUAAAUUUCAAAGGCAAAGACAAAGAGGGUAGCUUAAGGAGAGCCGCAGCGAGCGAGAGGAGCCGCAAAUUAGCCAAUAAACACAGACGGGGGAAUAAACGAAGGUGAACGAACGAACCGCUCAUCACUGCAAUAUGCUUCUGUUCAUUUCUUGUUUCUCUAUUGUUUCUACAUGCCCCUCCAGUUGAAUUAAUGUUGAAUCCGACAAUGGUUUCCUAUGGAGACGAAGAGAUGGCGAAUGGGCGAGCGAGGGUUAAAAGCGAAAGCUGCAGGAGGAGAGAGAGUGACUGGAGGACUCGGUAAUUAGGCAGUCGGCAACACACACCUCAUCAGUAUGCGGAGUAUGCAAAUUGACCGGCUGGCUCUUUCUUUUUGUCAUGGAUCAGAAGCCAAGAGCUGCAGAGAAGAAUUAAGAGCUAUUAUUCUACCCAAGGAGAGGCUGAUAUAUGCAAACGAGGGGAAAAGGGGAGGAGGAGGAGGAGGAGGAGGAGGAGGCAAAGAACACUCUUUAACCACAGAGAUAUACAAUGGACUCCACUGCAAAGGAGAGUCAAAUACAAUCACACAAAUACACUCUUAUCCUCCCUCACACCCUGGGAGAUUGUUCUACAUUUGCACUGGAACUAGCGAAAGAGAAAACGACAAUCAGACAUGCACCUUCAUUCCCCAUUAUAGCUAUCUCUGCAUAUUGAUAGGCUGCUUCGUGGAUGAUAAUUACCUUUUGGAAUAUCGAAUCCCGAAACGAGCCUCGGGAUGAAGGAACAAGAAGAAAGGACAGAAAAAAGAAAAAAGAGCGGAGGUAUGCGAAGGCGCUAAUGAUAUUCAGAGCGCUGACUGUGUGUCAUCUGCAUGAUGACAACGGCCAAUUAUAAUGAACCAUUGGCUCUCUGCCACAGAUAAGUAGAAGAGAGAAGGAUAUGGGUGAAGAGGAGGGGGAAGUGGAAAGAACUUCCCCGUCCCUUUCUUCUUAAUUUGCCGCUGAUAUUUGCAGAUUCUGUGUCGUGUGGAUUUACAGUAACGAUGCAUGUUGGAAAAAAAAAUGACAACCUUUCCUUGCAUUGUCCCUUAAAUGGAAUAAAGGCCACAGAAGAUGAGAGUGUCCCUCCAUGUAGGAUUUAUGGCUGCUUGGGGGUGGUAUUCCAUCGCCAUGUUGCUCAACUGGGCUUUGGUUCUGGUGGCAUUCGCUCCCGUACCAACCAUCGCUCUGACGAGCCAAAGAGUCUGUUGGAAAACACACAAGCAUAUGCACACACGGCAGCAUCUUUCAUAGUUCCGCCGUCUCCCCUUCCUCAUCACACUACAAAAUGCCUCCCCAUCACCGUUUUGCAUAUUCGCAUGCUGCCCCGCCUGCCACAAAGGACUAAACAGCCGUAUGCAAAACAGUCUGGCAUCCCCACUUACAUAGUGAUGAGACGAACAGUGUGAGAAGGAGGGGGCGG
rnacentral:lncRNA from 1 species